rnacentral:rRNA from 1 species
AUUGAACGCUGGCGGCAGGCCUAACACAUGCAAGUCGAACGAGUGGCGGACGGGUGAGUAAUGUCUGGGCAACUGCCCGAUGGAGGGGGCUAACUACUGGAAACGGUAGCUAAUACCGCAUACCAUCGGAUGUGCCCAGAUGGGAUUAGCGAGUAGGGGGGGUAACGGCUCACGUAGGCGACGAUCCCUAGCUGGUCUGAGAGGAUGACCGGCCAAAUGUGAACUAGGAAACGGUCAAAACCCCUACGGGAGGAAGCAGUGGGGAACAUUGCACAAUGGGCGCAAGCCUGAUGCAGCCAUGCCGCGUGUAUGAGGCGGGCCUCCGGGUUGAAAACUAUUUUCAGCGAGGAGGCGUUACUCGCAGAGGAAGCACCGGCUAACUCCGUGCCAGCAGCCGCGGUAAUAC